UUUUUUGUUUAAAAAGAAAUUUUCGCUCCUAAAGAAUCAACGAACAAUGGGAAAUUGAAAAACAAGAGGAAUUAUGAAAGAAUUCGAUUUCAGUAUCAUUUAUGAUACGCUUAGGGUUCCAUAUCAAAGGGCUUUAGGGUUUUUGUUAAAGAUGGCUUCCUCUAAUGAUGCUCUGAGGCAGUAGUUGUUGGAUCUCUAGAAACAGCUUUCUAACAAACAAGCCUUUGAAGGGGCUAUCUUCUCCAUCAAAUCUCUGUUUCAGGAGCGCUACCCCUCCGCCUCCCCUUCUCUCCAGAGGUUUCUUACCAUGGGAACCAGUGAAGACAUUGUCGUGCAGACAGAAAACAGUAAAGAUUAUUAUAGCUGGUAUCACUAAGCAAUUCCGCCUCUCUGUGGUUUUCUGUGUAUUUAUUUAGGCUGAGAUUGGUGAUAUAUACUAUUUUACUACUUUAAUUUUGUUCAUGAUUCUUUUUCAGGUAUGUAAAUGCGUGUUCAUACUUUAGAAAACCAACUUGGUUUCUAUUUUAGUUGCUUUGAAUUAUGACUGCUUA